UGGGGAAUAUUGGACAAUGGGCGAAAGCCUGAUCCAGCCAUGCCGCGUGUGUGAAGAAGGUCUUCGGAUUGUAAAGCACUUUAAGUUGGGAGGAAGGGCAGUAAGCGAAUACCUUGCUGUUUUGACGUUACCGACAGAAUAAGCACCGGCUAACCCUGUGCCAGCAGCCGCGGUAAUACAGAGGGUGCAAGCGUUAAUCGGAAUUACUGGGCGUAAAGCGCGCGUAGGUGGUUCGUUAAGUUGAAUGUGAAAGCCCCGGGCUCAACCUGGGAACUGCAUCCAAAACUGGCGAGCUAGAGUAGGGCAGAGGGUGGUGGAAUUUCCUGUGUAGCGGUGAAAUGCGUAGAUAUAGGAAGGAACACCAGUGGCGAAGGCGACCACCUGGGCUCAUACUGACACUGAGGUGCGAAAGCGUGGGGAGCAAACAGG
rnacentral:rRNA from 1 species